rnacentral:rRNA from 1 species
AUACAGAGGGUGCGAGCGUUAAUCGGAAUUACUGGGCGUAAAGCGCGCGUAGGCGGUCUAUUAAGUCAGAUGUGAAAUCCCAGGGCUCAACCUUGGAACUGCAUCUGAUACUGGUAGACUAGAGUUUUGGAGAGGGAAGUAGAAUUUCAGGUGUAGCGGUGAAAUGCAUAGAGAUCUGAAGGAAUACCAGUGGCGAAGGCGACUUCCUGACCAAAAACUGACGCUGAGGUGCGAAAGCGUGGGUAGCAAACGGGAUUAGAAACCCCAGUAGUCC